GGGCUGCCCGUCUGAAGGGCCAGGGCGAGGUCCACAGGGGCUGCCCGUCUGAAGGGCCAGGGCGAGGUCUACAAGGGCUGCCCGUCUGAAGGGCCAGGGCGAGGUCCACAGGGGCUGCCCGUCUAGAGGGCCAGGGCGAGGUCUACAAGGGCUGCCCGUCUGAAGGGCCAGGGCGAGGUCUACAAGGGGCUGCCCGUCUGGAGGGCCAGGGCGAGUGGCUGGCGCGGGUCGUGGUCGUGCUGCGGAGCCCGAGCGCCGGUCACUGUCCAGCACGGGCCGGAGGGCACGGGCCGGCCGGGAUGGGCGGCCACGCUGGGCUCCCUCUGGAAAGGGAAUCUCGGGCCUUGGUAAGAGGCGGGGCUUCACUUCUGGAAUAAGCUGGAGACUAUGGAGAAGAAGCCGGCCAGGACCUCGGCGCCUGGGGCCCUGGAGAUGGAGGUCUCCGGUUCAAAUCCAGCCUGAGACACGGCCUACGUGGGUGACCCUGGACGAGUCCUCACCCCUCAUUGCCUAGCCCUGUGGCGUAAUUUCUGACCGUGGGAUGCCCUGUAGAUCCACGGAGUCCGUCUCCAGGCCAGGAAGACCCCGAGCCCGGGGCGAGACCUUCCCGUACAGCCCAAGAGUCCUUCAGGACAGGGAUCAAAGUAGAGACGGGCCCGGAAGGCCCCCUCCUGGGCCCAAGAGGCCGCUGGAGAGCGAGGGGAGGCCCUGUGUGAGGGGAGGCCCGGUGGCGCGGGUCCCAGCGAUGGAUGGUGAGCUCCAGCGGUCACUCGCACCCCGCAGCCCUGCCGCAGCAAUUCUCCCCAGGGAGGGUUUCACCGUGUGCGUGCGUGGACCCCGCCGCUGUCCUGGGGACCCGAGGGCCUUGCUCUGCCUGGGCCCCAGAGGGGGAGCUGGAAUGCCCCCCGGCCCGGCCUGGCCCAGCCUUCGCCGCCUCUGACACGGGGCCUCCCUCGAGCCUUUCCGGUCUCGUUUCACGUUCACGCGCCGCUUGCUCUGUCCUCGGCUCGCUUGAGCGCAAGCUCCUUGCCGACGAGGGACGCCGUGUUUGCCUUUGCGUCCACCUCCCAGCCAGCCUCAUCCUUACGGAGGGCUCCGGCGUGGAGCUCCUGUCGGGGCCGGCGGGCUUCUCCCCAUCCCCACGGCCGUGCCCUGCAGCGGCUGCUCUGAGCUCUGCACGCAGAGCCAGGGCCCCGGGAAGGGCCAGCGGCGGGGGCAGCCUUCUCGCCGAUGGGGCCCUCCCGGGCGGAGAAGCCCAGGUCCCCGGAGGUGCCGCUGCCUUUCGCCGCGCCGGCCUGCAGCCACCUGCUGGCCCUCCGCCUGCAGCCACCUGCUGGCCCUCCGCCGUCAGGCCCAGGCUGGGGCCCCGCCGACCUCAUGCAGGCCUCAGGCCCUCACGCAGGCCUCAGGCUGGCCCCGCCGACCUCGCGCAGGCCUCAGGCCCUCACGCAGGCCUCAGGCUGGCCCCGCCGACCUCGCGCAGGCCUCAGGCCGGGGCCCCGCCGACCCUGGAACUGGGGGAGGCGGUCCUGCCGGAGGCCCUGGAGGGGAGACCGAUGCUUGUCCUGCUCUCUGAAGGCCAAAGGCGCCGGGCGCCAGCCGGAGGGGCUCGUCCAGCUCUGAGGCUUGUGGACACCUUCGACGCUGGAUUUCACGCUGCUUUUCUGACGUGA
rnacentral:lncRNA from 1 species